GGAGUUGUGGUUCAGUGGUAAAGUGCUUGCCUAGCAAGCGUGAGGCCCUGGGUUCAAUCCUCAGCUCCA
rnacentral:tRNA from 1 species